rnacentral:rRNA from 1 species
UUAAGCGACUAAGCGUACACGGUGGAUGCCCUGGCAGUCAGAGGCGAUGAAGGACGUGCUAAUCUGCGAUAAGCGUCGGUAAGGUGAUAUGAACCGUUAUAACCGGCGAUUUCCGAAUGGGGAAACCCAGUGUGAUUCGUCACACUAUCAUUAACUGAAUCCAUAGGUUAAUGAGGCGAACCGGGGGAACUGAAACAUCUAAGUACCCCGAGGAAAAGAAAUCAACCGAGAUUCCCCCAGUAGCGGCGAGCGAACGGGGAGCAGCCCAGAGCCUGAAUCAGUGUGUGUGUUAGUGGAAGCGUCUGGAAAGGCGCGCGAUACAGGGUGACAGCCCCGUACACAAAAAUGCACAUGCUGUGAGCUCGAUGAGUAGGGCGGGACACGUGGUAUCCUGUCUGAAUAUGGGGGGACCAUCCUCCAAGGCUAAAUACUCCUGACUGACCGAUAGUGAACCAGUACCGUGAGGGAAAGGCGAAAAGAACCCCGGCGAGGGGAGUGAAAAAGAACCUGAAACCGUGUACGUACAAGCAGUGGGAGCACGCUUCGGCGUGUGACUGCGUACCUUUUGUAUAAUGGGUCAGCGACUUAUAUUCUGUAGCAAGGUUAACCGAAUAGGGGAGCCGAAGGGAAACCGAGUCUUAACUGGGCGUUAAGUUGCAGGGUAUAGACCCGAAACCCGGUGAUCUAGCCAUGGGCAGGUUGAAGGUUGGGUAACACUAACUGGAGGACCGAACCGACUAAUGUUGAAAAAUUAGCGGAUGACUUGUGGCUGGGGGUGAAAGGCCAAUCAAACCGGGAGAUAGCUGGUUCUCCCCGAAAGCUAUUUAGGUAGCGCCUCGUGAAUUCAUCUCCGGGGGUAGAGCACUGUUUCGGCAAGGGGGUCAUCCCGACUUACCAACCCGAUGCAAACUGCGAAUACCGGAGAAUGUUAUCACGGGAGACACACGGCGGGUGCUAACGUCCGUCGUGAAGAGGGAAACAACCCAGACCGCCAGCUAAGGUCCCAAAGUCAUGGUUAAGUGGGAAACGAUGUGGGAAGGCCCAGACAGCCAGGAUGUUGGCUUAGAAGCAGCCAUCAUUUAAAGAAAGCGUAAUAGCUCACUGGUCGAGUCGGCCUGCGCGGAAGAUGUAACGGGGCUAAACCAUGCACCGAAGCUGCGGCAGCGACGCUUAUGCGUUGUUGGGUAGGGGAGCGUUCUGUAAGCCUGUGAAGGUGUACUGUGAGGUAUGCUGGAGGUAUCAGAAGUGCGAAUGCUGACAUAAGUAACGAUAAAGCGGGUGAAAAGCCCGCUCGCCGGAAGACCAAGGGUUCCUGUCCAACGUUAAUCGGGGCAGGGUGAGUCGACCCCUAAGGCGAGGCCGAAAGGCGUAGUCGAUGGGAAACAGGUUAAUAUUCCUGUACUUGGUGUUACUGCGAAGGGGGGACGGAGAAGGCUAUGUUGGCCGGGCGACGGUUGUCCCGGUUUAAGCGUGUAGGCUGGUUUUCCAGGCAAAUCCGGAAAAUCAAGGCUGAGGCGUGAUGACGAGGCACUACGGUGCUGAAGCAACAAAUGCCCUGCUUCCAGGAAAAGCCUCUAAGCAUCAGGUAACAUCAAAUCGUACCCCAAACCGACACAGGUGGUCAGGUAGAGAAUACCAAGGCGCUUGAGAGAACUCGGGUGAAGGAACUAGGCAAAAUGGUGCCGUAACUUCGGGAGAAGGCACGCUGAUAUGUAGGUGAAGUCCCUCGCGGAUGGAGCUGAAAUCAGUCGAAGAUACCAGCUGGCUGCAACUGUUUAUUAAAAACACAGCACUGUGCAAACACGAAAGUGGACGUAUACGGUGUGACGCCUGCCCGGUGCCGGAAGGUUAAUUGAUGGGGUUAGCGGUAACGCGAAGCUCUUGAUCGAAGCCCCGGUAAACGGCGGCCGUAACUAUAACGGUCCUAAGGUAGCGAAAUUCCUUGUCGGGUAAGUUCCGACCUGCACGAAUGGCGUAAUGAUGGCCAGGCUGUCUCCACCCGAGACUCAGUGAAAUUGAACUCGCUGUGAAGAUGCAGUGUACCCGCGGCAAGACGGAAAGACCCCGUGAACCUUUACUAUAGCUUGACACUGAACAUUGAGCCUUGAUGUGUAGGAUAGGUGGGAGGCUUUGAAGUGUGGACGCCAGUCUGCAUGGAGCCGACCUUGAAAUACCACCCUUUAAUGUUUGAUGUUCUAACGUUGACCCGUAAUCCGGGUUGCGGACAGUGUCUGGUGGGUAGUUUGACUGGGGCGGUCUCCUCCUAAAGAGUAACGGAGGAGCACGAAGGUUGGCUAAUCCUGGUCGGACAUCAGGAGGUUAGUGCAAUGGCAUAAGCCAGCUUGACUGCGAGCGUGACGGCGCGAGCAGGUGCGAAAGCAGGUCAUAGUGAUCCGGUGGUUCUGAAUGGAAGGGCCAUCGCUCAACGGAUAAAAGGUACUCCGGGGAUAACAGGCUGAUACCGCCCAAGAGUUCAUAUCGACGGCGGUGUUUGGCACCUCGAUGUCGGCUCAUCACAUCCUGGGGCUGAAGUAGGUCCCAAGGGUAUGGCUGUUCGCCAUUUAAAGUGGUACGCGAGCUGGGUUUAGAACGUCGUGAGACAGUUCGGUCCCUAUCUGCCGUGGGCGCUGGAGAACUGAGGGGGGCUGCUCCUAGUACGAGAGGACCGGAGUGGACGCAUCACUGGUGUUCGGGUUGUCAUGCCAAUGGCACUGCCCGGUAGCUAAAUGCGGAAGAGAUAAGUGCUGAAAGCAUCUAAGCACGAAACUUGCCCCGAGAUGAGUUCUCCCUGACUCCUUGAGAGUCCUGAAGGAACGUUGAAGACGACGACGUUGAUAGGCCGGGUGUGUAAGCGCAGCGAUGCGUUGAGCUAACCGGUACUAAUGAACCGUGAGGCUUAACCU